rnacentral:rRNA from 1 species
UACGUAGGUGGCAAGCGUUGUCCGGAUUUACUGGGCGUAAAGAGCGCGCAGGCGGUCGUUCAAGUCGCGUGUGAAAGCCCCCGGCUCAACUGGGGAGGGUCACGCGAUACUGAUCGACUCGAAGGCAGGAGAGGGUAGUGGAAUUCCCGGUGUAGCGGUGGAAUGCGCAGAUAUCAGGAAGAACACCCGUGGCGAAAGCGGCUCUCUGGAACGGUACUGACGCUGAGACGCGAAAGCGUGGGGAGCGAACAGG